rnacentral:rRNA from 1 species
GGGCCCGCACAAGCGGUGGAGUAUGUGGUUUAAUUCGAUGCAACGCGAAGAACCUUACCAGGGUUUGACAUCCUGCGAAUCUCUUGGAAACAGGAGAGUGCCUUCGGGAACGCAGUGACAGGUGGUGCAUGGCUGUCGUCAGCUCGUGUCGUGAGAUGUUGGGUUAAGUCCCGCAACGAGCGCAACCCUCACUUUUAGUUGCCAUCAUUUAGUUGGGCACUCUGAAAGAACUGCCCGUGAUAAGCGGGAGGAAGGUGUGGAUGACGUCAAGUCCUCAUGGCCCUUACGGGUUGGGCUACACACGUGCUACAAUGGUAGUGACAAUGGGUUAAUCCCAAAAAGCUAUCUCAGUUCGGAUUGUCGUCUGCAACUCGACGGCAUGAAGUCGGAAUCGCUAGUAAUCG